rnacentral:rRNA from 1 species
UACGGGGGGGGCAAGCGUUGUUCGGAAUUACUGGGCGUAAAGGGCUCGUAGGCGGUCAACUAGGUCAGACGUGAAAUCCCUCGGCUUAACCGGGGAACUGCGUCUGAUACUGGAUGGCUUGAGUUUGGGAGAGGGAUGCGGAAUUCCAGGUGUAGCGGUGAAAUGCGUAGAUAUCUGGAGGAACACCGGUGGCGAAGGCGGCAUCCUGGACCAACACUGACGCUGAGGAGCGAAAGCCAGGGGAGCAAACGGG